rnacentral:rRNA from 1 species
GACGGACCAUCCAAACGUUAUUCGGAAUUACUGGGCGUAAAGCGUGCGUAGACGGUUACAUAAGUCGGGUGUGAAAGCCCCGGGCUCAACCUGGGAAUUGCAUUCGAGACUGCGUAGCUAGGGUGCGGAAGAGGGAAGCGGAAUUUCCGGUGUAGCGGUGAAAUGCGUAGAUAUCGGAAGGAACACCAGUGGCGAAAGCGGCUUCCUGGUCCAGCACCGACGUUCAGGCACGAAAGCGUGGGGAGCAAACAGG